rnacentral:rRNA from 1 species
UACGUAGGGUGCAAGCGUUUAAUCGGAAUUACUGGGCGUAAAGCGUGUGCAGGCGGUUUUGUAAGUCUGUCGUGAAAUCCCCGGGCUCAACCUGGGAAUUGCGUUGGAGACUGCAAGGCUAGAAUCUGGCAGAGGGGGGUAGAAUUCCACGUGUAGCAGUGAAAUGCGUAGAGAUGUGGAGGAACACCGAUGGCGGAAGGCAGCCCCCUGGGUCAAGAUUGACGCUCAUGCACGAAAGCGUGGGGAGCAAACAGG